rnacentral:tRNA from 1 species
CGCCGCCGUGGAGGACCUGGGCUUCCCGCGCGUGUCCUGCGACGACGCGGUGGCCGUCGAGCAGGCGUUCGGGCACCUGGUGGCGC